rnacentral:rRNA from 1 species
GGGAGGCAGCAGUGGGGAAUCUUGCGCAAUGGGCGAAAGCCUGACGCAGCAACGCCGCGUGUGUGAUGAAGGUCUUCGGAUCGUAAAGCACUGUCGGGAGGGACGAAUAAGGUGACGGCUAACAUCCGUCGCUGAUGACGGUACCUCCAAAGGAAGCACCGGCUAACUCUGUGCCAGCAGCCGCGGUAAUACAGAGGGUGCAAGCGUUGUUCGGAAUUAUUGGGCGUAAAGCGCGUGUAGGCGGCCAGGCAAGUUGGGUGUGAAAGCCCUCGGCUUAACCGAGGAAGUGCGCCCAAAACUACUUGGCUUGAGUACCGGAGAGGGUGGCGGAAUUCCCGGUGUAGAGGUGAAAUUCGUAGAUAUCGGGAGGAACACCAGUGGCGAAGGCGGCCACCUGGACGGAUACUGACGCUGAGACGCGAAAGCGUGGGUAGCAAACAGGAUUAGAUACCCCGGUAGC